AAAUGUCAGGCUACAUGUUAUUUACCAAUACAAUAUUCUUUUAAAGAUGCAAGGGAAAAGCGCACAGUAAACCAAGGGUGUGUCAAGAAGCCUAGGCAAGCAUUCAACAUAAAUCAAAUCAAUAUGUAAAUUUCUGUUUGACUGGGAAACCUGCAUUGGCCAUGUAAAACCCUAGCAGAGAAUAGAAAGCAGCUAUGAUAAAUGAGUUUACAUGCUUCAAAAUUCCAAUUAAAAAUCUUCAAAUACAAGUGUACCACUGGGAUCCAAGCUGAUUCAUGUUACUGUCUUCUGAAUGCUGGGAUAUGCAUUUAUUUGCAAAUGCACACUCACUCCUCAUGAUAACUUCAUAUGUAACAUGCAACAAUAAAGGAAUUUUAGUUAAUCGUUCUUUUAAACUGCUGAUGGCUUUUCUUUGUGUUGGAGCAACCUUACAGUCUCCAAAGAUAAAACUCUCCAAACAGAUGGCAAAUUGGUUUACUGGAAAGGGGAAACUGGCAAAAAAGACAGGUGCUGUGUCUGGUGCAGAUCUGGAAUUGCUCUGAAGGAGAUUUAAUUUUCUUCUAAACAUCAGUCAUGGGGCAAUGCUGGAAGCAGGAUAUUCUGGUGUCAGACCACACUGGCAGAGGCAUCUUUGAUUGUCAAGCCCAGCCCUCUGCUACCACAUGGCAUUUGGAAAACUCCCAAGCUUCCUCCUAAAAAAAAAAUAAAAAUUCUACUCUUUGCCUUGGUUUGGCUUUUGAAAGCAUUUUCCAGAAAAAUAUCUUAUAUUCUUCACCUGACUGCCAUUCUAUUUAUGGUGUAAGUUGUCUGAUUUUCUCUCAGGCUCUUGGGGUACUUAUAGAAGCAUAGAAUGGGUUGGGUUGGAAGGGACCUUAAAGAUCAUCUAGUUCUGAACACCCUGCCAUGGGCAGGGACACCUUCUGCUAUACCAGGUUGCUCAAAGCCCCAUCCAGCCUGGCCUAGAACACUGCCAGUGAUGGGGCAUCCACAGGUUCAGGCUGUUGCCACCACAGCCUGCCACUGGGUGGCUUGUUUCUGCGUUGUUUUUUGUGGUGUUUUUUUUUUUUUUUUUUCAAGGAAUACAUUUUAAUUGCAAAAGCAGAGCUUGGUCUUCUGAACUUUUGUACUUUUCCUUCAGUGAAGUAGUAACAUGCCUGGGUCCACAAUAUUCUCAAUUAGUUAGGCUAAUCAUCUUCCAUACACCUUGGUGGUAUUUCAGCAAUCAAAAAAGAUAUUAUAUCUUUUAAAAAUAAAAUCAGUACACAAAUCCUGUGUAUAGCUGUAAUGUAUAAUCUGUCACAAAGUAUUACAACAAGGCAGACAAUGCUCAAUAACAUAUGACAGCACACAUAUUGGGGACGGAGUACAUGAGCUGGGAAUACAGUUGGACAAGCCUAUACGUUCAAAACAGGGUGUAUUUUAUUUACUUAUUUGUAUCUUGUGGGUUUCAAUUAUUUCUUUAUUAUUUGUUUUGACUGAGUUUCUUUCAACUCUGGAUUUCUGAUAUCAACUACAAAAUGAUACCCUCUCAGAGUGAUUAAAACAUCAAUGAAUAUUGAAA